UGAGCUCUCCCUCUGAGAAGUAGCAGAGCUCUGUGGCAAUGUGCCAAAUAAGGAUACUCUGAUCAAAUUCGACAUUGAUACUCCACUCAAGGCUAAGGCGAGUUUGCCGCUUAUACAUUUGAAGUAUGUUGCUUCCCCUUUGGCUGCACAAAUCCCUGAAAUUGCCAUCAUCUUGUUUCUCCUUAAACUGAUUAAAUUUCUCUUUGACAUGCUUGAAAAUCAGCCUUUUGAGAUCAUCAUCAACUUCUGCAUAAGUUUCAGGUGGCCAUUUCUCCACUACCCUUUUCAGGAGUCUGAAGUAAGGCUUUUCCUUGAGGAAACUUCCAAGUAGACUUGACUGUGGCACCCGACUCGACCACCUUUUCCUUA
rnacentral:lncRNA from 1 species